CAUCUCUGGUUUCAGAGACAGGAAGAAGUGAGCCUGGACAUUAUAACAGGGUUGAUCAUCUCUGGUUUCAGAGACAGGAAGAAGUGAGCCUGGGCCUUAUAACAGGGUUGAUCAUCUCUGGUUUCAGAGACAGGAAGAAGUGAGCCUGGGCCUUAUAACAGGGUUGAUCAUCUCUGGUUUCAGAGACAGGAAGAAGUGAGUCUGGGCAUUAUAACAGGGUUGAUCAUCUCUGGUUUCAGAGACAGGAAGAAGAAAUCUGCAGCGAAAGCUGAAGAGAAGGCAGAGAACCCCUACGGCGUGACCAACAAAACAUUUGAGAGGGAAGAGGAUGAACAGACAGGGUUCUGAGUCGCUGACUGUCUGUCAGGAUUUGGCCAGGGUUGUUCCGGAGACCCGGGUUCGUAACCGGGUCCUGACACUGUCAGUGUGAAAGUUUGACAGACGACUUGACAGAUCUGGAAAAACUCCCUACAACAACAACUCUUUCAAGAAGACCACAUUAGAAGUUGGAUCAUUCGUUUAAAUUAUGUAUAAAUUCAAGACAUUUGUAGAGUUUUAGAAUAUAUUUUUAUUCUAAAAAAAAAAAAAAAAAAUACUUAAGUCACAGAAAAAUAUAAAAGCAUUACUCAUCUGACUAAACGAUCAAUAACUGAAAAAUACAAA